CUAAGUGGCGGACGGGUGGGUAAUGUAUAGUUAAUCUGCCCUUUAGAGGGGGAUAACAGUUGGAAACGACUGCUAAUACCCCAUACUCCUUUUAUCUUAAUGAUAAUUGGGAAACGUUUUUUCGCUAAAGGAUGAGACUAUAUGGUAUCAGGUAGUUGGUAGGGUAAGAGCCUACCAAGCCAAUGACGCCUAGCUGGUCUGAGAGGAUGAUCAGCCACACUGGAACUGAGACACGGUCCAG
rnacentral:rRNA from 1 species